rnacentral:lncRNA from 1 species
CUCCCAAACCGUUUGGCCAAAUUUGGUGGGGUUUUUUCCUACAAACCACAUUUUUCAUCCUCUUUCCAAAAAUAUAAAUUUCAUGACCUAAAACCUUACCAAUCAAAAUGGCAUUUUUGGACCUUUUUCAUUUAAAUUCAAAGUUUGACCAAGAGUUGACUUUUUGACUCAAGCAUUUUUUCAACAUUUGGCCAAUUGGAACAGCUCAUAAAUAUCAUUUUAAGUGUGUUUGCAAAGCCAAAUUAUGCAGAACAUGUGAAUCUUGUUUGGUUGCUUGAAUUACAAGAAAAGUACCCUUUGACCAUACUUGCACCAUACUUGUUUAUGCAUCCACCAUACCAUGGUUUGUACUCUCAAAACAGAAGUUAGCAAGCCAUUUUUCUGUCAUGUUGAAACCUCAUCAUGCAGCCAUACACCAACAAGUACACAUAGCCAUGCUUGCUCACUUGAAUUUUGGCAAAAAGGACAUUGUUUCAAACAUCCAAUUGUUGAACCAUACCUUGUACUUGCAACAGCAGAUCUAGUGGCAAUGGUGCAGCAUUCUUUCUGUCAUUGUUUGGAUACAUUACUAGCAGCAAGACCAACAGAAAUUGAGGGAAGCUAAAAAACACUUUGGCCUUUCUUUUUCCAAAGGAGCUGUCAAAAGCACCCAAAAGCAUGGGCCUUGCCAUGUCUGGUACUGCUCAUAGCAGACCAAGGCUUUAAUGUGCUGUGACUGGUAGCAGCAUGGGCAUGACACCAAAAACAACAGCCAAUAGCAGGUUUUGGAAAGAGGAUUUUCCUGUCAUGAGAAAAACACAUAGCAGCAGCACAGCAGAGAAAAAAGAUAUAGACUUCACUCAUUCAACACUCACCCUUGGCCAUUUUCUGAAGUAAAAACCUGUAAAACUCAAAAGAAAAAAACACAUUGCAGAGCCAGCAACAAAACAGCAGGGUUUUCUUUUUAUCUUUUUGCUGUCACUUUUGAAACACAGUUAACACCACAAAGCAACAUAGGACAGCAAAGUUGAAGCACCAUUUUUCCUGUCAUAAAACCAACAACAGCAUUUCAUUUUCUUUGGAUGGUGAUUCUCAAACUUACACACACCCUUAGCCAUCCCUCAAGAAAAAGAACUUGCUAACAACCUUGCCCUCACCUGACUGCUUGCAUCUCAAAGAUUCCCUGUCCAAACUCAAGAAGCAAGGGAUCUUGCUAUGAGCAUUGGAUUUUUGCUGUCAAAACACAUAACUUUCAAAAUAACCAACAUGACCUAACUUAACCAAAAAACCUCACUUUUCUGUCAUUUGCCAAGAUAACACAACCUGCUAUUUGCCUUUGGAAAUUCUGCCAAAAAACCCUACGGUUCCAACACAUUGCAUAGCAACACUUCAUUUUGAGAUGAUGGCUCACUCUCUCAACUGACCCUGCUACUUGUCUCUUAACCUUUCCUGUCCAAACUUCAAAAACCUCACUUGGCCACUGCAUCAUUUUCUGUCAUACACACACACAUAGAACAAACACCCCUGCCACAAAAUAACUAAAUCUCCAAACCAGCAAAAAAGGCACCACACCCCUGUCAUGAAAAGAUCCUGCAUCAUUUUUCCUGCCCUUGGUAGACAACAGCAACCUGGUUCAUAAAAAAUAAACUCACUUGCAUUAUGCCAAACCUUGCCUUGCAUUGUCUAAAAAAAAACUGCACCAUUUCCCUGCCAUAACAAGACCAUUAGCAGACAAAAACAAGCUGACUGAGGCCAAAAUCUUGAUUUCCCUCUCAUUUGGCACUGUUGGAAAACUGUCAAAAACUCCAUCUUUCAUGGCUAUGCUUGGUACUGCAGAGACCAAUCUUGUUCAUUUUUCUGCCACACCACAAAAUCCUAGCAGCAGACCAACCAAAGGUUCUUGGACCUGGCCUUGCAUUUUCUAAAAAUUGUCCAAACACAAGAGUGCCAAAACCUUGCCAACAAACUUGCUAGCAGCAUACCACCAUACAGCAGCCACAGACCAAAACAUCCAUUCUCCUCUCAUCUUGCAUUUUUUGCACAAAGGGAGUUCUGAGCAAAACAUCAAAAAACCCUUGAACCACCUUCAUUAUUUCUUCAUCUGGACUCCAUUUGGAAGUGAUUUGCUGCAUCAGACAUCCUCUGCAUAGCCAUCUUCAUGUCCUGUUUUCUCAAAGCUCAACAAAUGGCAAAUCGAGCUGUGAGAUUUUCCAAGCAUUCUUGAGCUUGUCUACACCAAGUAUCCUUCAUUGCCAAGCACAAGGAAGGACUGUUCGAGCACAACAACUUCAAAACACCACUGCAU